AGAGUUUGAUCCUGGCUCAGGAUGAACGCUGGCGGCGUGGAUAAGGCAUGCAAGUCGAACGAGACUAAUCAGUUGGAAGUGCAAAGCAAGGUUGAAGUAGCAAUACGGAUUUCGAGCAAUGCGUGAAAGAUUGACAGUUUAGUGGCAGACGAGGUAGGAAUAUACAGGAACAUUCCCUUAAGUCAGGAAUAACUAGUCGAAAGAUUAGCUAAUACUUGAUAUUAUCGUAAGAUGAAAGUUUUAACGCUUAAGGAUUGGCCUGUACGGUAUCAGGUAGUUGGUAGGGUAAAGGCCUACCAAGCCAUUGACGCCUAGGAGAGCUGAGAGGCUGACCUCCACCGAUGGGACUGAGACACGGCCCAUACACCUACGGGUGGCUGCAGUCGAGAAUAUUUCACAAUGGACGAAAGUCUGAUGAAGCGACGCCGCGUGACCGAUGAAGAGCUUCGGUUUGUAAAGGUCUUUUAUGUAGGAAAAACGAUGAUGGUACUACAUGAAUAAGGGGUUGCUAAACUCGUGCCAGCAGCAGCGGUAAUACGAGUACCCCGAGCGUUAUCCGGAAUUAUUGGGCGUAAAGGGUGAGUAGGUUGUUUUACUAGUCGGGUGUUAAAGUAGAAGGGCUCAACCCAUCUAGUGCAUUCGAAACGGUAAAACUAGAAUAUGUGAGAGGUAUGUGGAACUCUAUGUGUAGGGGUGAAAUCCGUUGAUAUAUAGGGGAACACCGAAAGCGAAGGCAGCAUACUGGCACAUUAUUGACACUGAAUCACGAAAGCGUGGGUAGCGAAUGAGAUUAGAUACCUCAGUAGUCCACGCCCUAAACGAUCUUCUCUAGAUUCUCUCGGUAUCGACCCCGGGAGUGUCGAAGCUAACGCGUUAAGAGAAGCGCCUGGGAAUUACGACCGCAAGGUUAAAACUCAAAGGAACAGACGGGGACCUGCACAAGCGGUGGAUUAUGUGGUUUAAUUCGACGGUAAACGAAAAACCUCACCAGGGUUUGAAACCCAACUGUAAGCCUUUAGAAACAUUGGCCCUGCGCAAGCACAGUUGGACAGGUGAUGCAUGGUCGUCGUCAGUUCGUGGCUUGAGUUGUUCCCUUCAGUGGGGAAACGAACGCAACCCUUAUUGCCUGUUACAAGUGUCAGGCGAGACUGCCCAGCCCUUUGUUCGCGAAGCGAGCAAACCUCAAUUCUUAUUCUCAUUCUUUUCCUAAAUUUUGAAAGAUUUAGGCAAAGGUUAAGAUUAAGGCUAAGGUUUGAUAACUUCGUUAUCAAAAGGCUGGGAGGAAGGAGAGGAUGACGCCAGAUCAGCAUGUCCCUUUGACACCCUGGGCUACACACAUAAUACAAUCGCGUUGACAACGGGUCGCGACGGGGUAACCCUGAGCCAAUCCUAAUAAACAACGCGCCAGUUCAGAUUGAGGUCUGCAACUCGACCUCAUGAAGCCGGAAUCGCUAGUAAUCGCGGGUCAGCUAUACCGCGGUGAAUACGUUCUCAGGUCUUGUACUCACCGCCCGUCAAUUCAGGGAAGCCGAGAGUACCCGAAGCCCGCCAUUAGGCGGUCUAAGGUAAAUUCGGUGACAAGGAAUAAGUCGUAACAAGGUA
rnacentral:rRNA from 1 species